AGUGAACGUUGGCGGCGUGGAUUAGGCAUGCAAGUCGUGCGACGAGGCCCGCAAGGGUGCUCGAGCGGCGAAAGGGAGAGUAAUGCACGGGUAACCUGCCCCUAGGACUGGGAUAGCCGUGGGAAACUGCGGGUAAUACCAGAUGAUGUCUGAUAGCUUCGGCUAUCGGACCAAAGGUGCGAGUCCGCCUAGGGAGGGGCCCGUGUCCUAUCAGCUAGUUGGUGGGGUAACGGCUCACCAAGGCUACGACGGGUACGGGGUGUGAGAGCAUGUCCCCGCUCACUGGGACUGAGACACUGCCCAGACACCUACGGGUGGCUGCAGUCGAGAAUCUUCGGCAAUGGGCGCAAGCCUGACCGAGCGACGCCGCGUGCGGGACGAAGGCCGUUGUGUUGUAAACCGCUGUCAGGGGGGAGGAAAUGUCGGCCCUCAGGGUCGGCUUGACCUAUCCCCAGAGGAAGGACGGGCUAAGUCCGUG
rnacentral:rRNA from 2 species